rnacentral:rRNA from 1 species
CCUACGGGUGGCAGCAGUGGGGAAUAUUGCACAAUGGGGGAAACCCUGAUGCAGCAACGCCGCGUGGGUGAAGGAGCGUUUCGGCGCGUAAAGCCCUGUCAGCGGGGAAGAAGAAAGACGGUACCCGACCAAGAAGCCCCGGCUAACUACGUGCCAGCAGCCGCGGUAAUACGUAGGGGGCGAGCGUUAUCCGGAAUUACUGGGUGUAAAGGGAGCGUAGACGGCGUGGUAAGUCCGAAGUGGAAGCCCGGGGCCCAACCGCGGAACUGCAUCGGGUACUGUCUGGCUGGAGUAUGGGAGGGGUGAGUGGAAUUCCUGGUGUAGCGGUGAAAUGCGUAGAGAUCAGGAGGAACACCGGUGGCGAAGGCGGCUUACUGGACCAAAACUGACGUUGAGGCGCGAAAGCGUGGGGAGCGAACAGGAUUAGAUACCCGAGUAGUC